UUGACCUCGGAUCAGGUAGGGAUACCCGCUGAACUUAAGCAUAUCAAUAAGCGGAGGAAAAGAAACCAACAGGGAUUGCCUCAGUAACGGCGAGUGAAGCGGCAAGAGCUCAAAUUUGAAAGCUGGCUCCUUCGGGGUCCGCAUUGUAAUUUGCAGAGGAUGCUUCGGGAGUGGCCCCCAUCUAAGUGCCCUGGAACGGGCCGUCAUAGAGGGUGAGAAUCCCGUCUGGGAU
rnacentral:rRNA from 1 species